GGAUAAGGCAAAGUCUAGUUGUGUUAGGGCCGGGCCCGGGCCUGUCACCUUGUCGCUGUGGGUACCUGUAGUUUUAUUGUAGGUAGUUGGUGCUCUGGUCCUGGAUUCUGGAACUCCCCUUGAUGUUGACAGGUUCUGGUGCCCUGAUGGGUGUUUGCUUCUUGAAGGUUGCCUGGCGGGAUUCGGUGCCGUGUGAGGAUGAGGUGGGACCUGCCUGUCCCUGCGAGUUAUCAGCGCUGUUUUGGUCAAUCGCUUGCGG